AUUGAACGCUGGCGGCAGGCCUAACACAUGCCAGUCGAGCGGAUGAAGGGAGCUUGCUCCUGGAUUCAGCGGCGGACGGGUGAGUAAUGCCUAGGAAUCUGCCUGGUAGUGGGGGAUAACGUCCGGAAACGGGCGCUAAUACCGCAUACGUCCUGAGGGAGAAAGUGGGGGAUCUUCGGACCUCACGCUAUCAGAUGAGCCUAGGUCGGAUUAGCUAGUUGGUGGGGUAAAGGCCUACCAAGGCGACGAUCCGUAACUGGUCUGAUAGGAUGAUCAGUCACACUGGAACUGAGACACGGUCCAGACUCCUACGGGACGCAGCAGUGGGGAAUAUUGGACAAUGGGCGAAAGCCUGAUACAGCCGUGCCGAGUGUGUGAAGAAGGUCUUCGGAUUGUAAAGCACUUUAAGUUGGGAGGAAGGGCAGUAAGUUAAUACCUUGCUGUUUUGACGUUACCAACAGAAUAAGCACCGGCUAACUUCGUG
rnacentral:rRNA from 1 species